CCCUUAGAUGUCCGGGGCCGCACGCGCGCUACACUGAAGGAAUCAGCGUGGCUUUCUCCCUGACCCGAAAGGGUUGGGAAACCCGUUGAAUCUCCUUCGUGAUAGGGAUUGGGGCUUGAAAUUGUUCCCCAUGAACGAGGAAUUCCCAGUAAGCGCGAGUCAUAAGCUCGCGUUGAUUACGUCCCUGCCCUUUGUACACACCGCCCGUCGCUACUACCGAUUGAACGGUUUAGUGAGGGCCUCGGAUUGGUCUCGGCCCGCUCUUUACCGGGCGGCGCCGUUGGUCGAGAAGACGCUCGAACUUGAUCGUUUAGAGGAAAUAAAAGUCGUAACA
rnacentral:rRNA from 1 species